rnacentral:rRNA from 1 species
CCUACGGGUGGCAGCAGUGGGGGAUAUUGCACAAUGGGCGCAAGCCUGAUGCAGCGACGCCGCGUGGGGGAUGACGGCUUUCGGGUUGUAAACCUCUUUCGUCGGGGGACAAGGCUCUGCUUGGUGGUGGGGUUGAGGGUACCCGGUGAAGAAGCGCCGGCUAACUACGUGCCAGCAGCCGCGGUAAUACGUAGGGCGCGAGCGUUGUCCGGAAUUAUUGGGCGUAAAGGGCUCGUAGGCGGCUUGUCGCGUCUGCUGUGAAAAUGCGGGGCUUAACUCCGUACGUGCAGUGGGUACGGGCAGGCUAGAGUGCGGUAGGGGUGACUGGAAUUCCUGGUGUAGCGGUGGAAUGCGCAGAUAUCAGGAGGAACACCGAUGGCGAAGGCAGGUCACUGGGCUGUUACUGACGCUGAGGAGCGAAAGCGUGGGGAGCGAACAGGAUUAGAUACCCGUGUAGUC